UGAGGAAUAUUGGUCAAUGGGCGAGAGCCUGAACCAGCCAAGUAGCGUGCAGGAUGACGGCCCUAUGGGUUGUAAACUGCUUUUAUGUGGGGAUAAAGUGCGUGACGUGUCAUGCAUUGCAGGUACCACAUGAAUAAGGACCGGCUAAUUCCGUGCCAGCAGCCGCGGUAAUAAGGAAGGUCCGGGCGUUAUCCGGAUUUAUUGGGUUUAAAGGGAGCGUAGGCUGUCUAUUAAGCGUGUUGUGAAAUUUACCGGCUCAACCGGUGGCCUGCAGCGCGAACUGGUCGACUUGAGUAUGCAGGAAGUAGGCGGAAUUCAUGGUGUAGCGGUGAAAUGCUUAGAUAUCAUGACGAACUCCGAUUGCGCAGGCAGCUUACUGUAGCAUAACUGACGCUGAUGCUCGAAAGUGCGGGUAUCAAACAGG
rnacentral:rRNA from 1 species